rnacentral:rRNA from 1 species
GACGAACGCUGGCGGCGUGCUUAACACAUGCAAGUCGAACGGAAAGGCCCUGCUUUUGUGGGGUGCUCGAGUGGCGAACGGGUGAGUAACACGUGAGUAACCUGCCCUUGACUUUGGGAUAACUUCAGGAAACUGGGGCUAAUACCGGAUAGGAGCUCCUGCUGCAUGGUGGGGGUUGGAAAGUUUCGGCGGUUGGGGAUGGACUCGCGGCUUAUCAGCUUGUUGGUGGGGUAGUGGCUUACCAAGGCUUUGACGGGUAGCCGGCCUGAGAGGGUGACCGGCCACAUUGGGAAUGAGAUACGGCCCAGACUCCUACGGGAGGAAGCAGUGGGGAAUAUUGCACAAUGGGCGGAAGCCUGAUGCAGCAACGCCGCGUGCGGGAUGAAGGCCUUCGGGUUGUAAACCGCUUUCGCCUGUGACGAAGCGUGAGUGACGGUAAUGGGUAAAGAAGCACCGGCUAACUACGUG